AUGGAGACACAGGCCACAGGCAGAGGGAGAAGCAGGCUCCAUGCAGGGAGCCUGACAUGGGGCUUGAUCCCAGGUUUCCAGGAUCAGGUCCUAGGCUGAAGGCUGCACUAAACCACUGAGCUACCUGGGCUGCCCUUAACAUUAUGUCUAUAAGGUGAAACAAACAAACAAACAAAAAAUGUGGCUUCUCUCAAAAUUUAAUGCCUGGUAGUUAAUCCAUCCCCUUUGUCAUUUAUAUCAAGAAAUUGCCACAAAUAUGUCAGAAUUCACUAAUCACUUUUGGAGACCAAGUUGUUCAAUCUCAGGUCCCAGUGUCUCCCAGGUCCAUAAUUUUAUAGAAGUCAGAGUAAAGAGACCAGUAAGACUCCUGGAAGUCUCACCAUCCCUGCAUCAUCCAUUUGUAGAGAAGGUUUACAGAUGCACCAUGACUGGAGCUCAAGACACAGUUCAUUUAUCCUUCUCCUAGCAGCUGAUUACAUAGACGUAUGUGACAAUCAAUAUUCAUGCCCUCCGCUCCUUCCUGAGGGAGAGACAUGAAUUUUCACUAUCAAAGAGCCAUCACUGUCUAAUUUACCAAAGAGCAUGAGGAAUGAAAUCAAAGAUUGACCUAGACUAUGACCAAUUUAUGUCAGACAAGCAAAUUAUGAUAAAACUGUGCCUCUUGUUGAAAGAACAGAAGUAUUUAUUAUUUGGAAUGCUUUUAAAUUGCAUUGUUAUAUUUUUCAACAUCACAGGAUGAUUCCUCUUAAUAAAUCUUUUCCUUGGUAUGAGUUAAUAGAAAAUAAAUGUCUUGGUCUCUGCCCUGGAACUCCGGAAGCCUUGUAAUUUUCUACAUGACAGGAGUGUCUUUUGUUCUUUUGUGGCAACUCUUGGUGAGCUUCUGGAUGGUUCCUGGAUAGGAGCUGGUCACCGGAAGGUCCAAGCCAAGAUUAGGAACUUGGUAUUUUCAGCCCUAACUCCCAUUGUCUUGAGAUGGGAGAGAACUGAAAAUGGAGUUAAUGAUCAAUCAUGCCUACAUGAUGGGGCCUCCUUAAAAUCCCAAAAGUAGAAUGUUUGGAGAGCUUCCAGUUAGGGUGACAUACCCCAACUCCAUGGGAACAGGAGGAGCUUCUGUGCUUGGGACCCUUCCAGAAUCUCCCCCCACCUGCCCCAUCAUGUAUAUUUUGUCUGGCUGUUCAUCUAUAACCUUUAUGGUGUCCUUUAAUCAACUGGUAAACAUACGCAAGUGUUUUCUUGAGUUAUGUAAGCCACUCUAGCAAAUAAGUUUGAACCUGAGGAAAGAGUCAUUGGAACCUCCUAUCUAUUUAACUGGUUGGUCAGAAGCACAGGGGACAACCUGGACUUGUGACUGGCUUCUAAAUCUGAGGGGUCAGUCUUUGGGACUGAGCCCUUUCCCUAUGAGAUCUGAUGCUAAUCUCUGGGUACAGAGUGUCAGAACUGAGUUUAAUUGUAGGAUAUCCAGCUGCUGUCUGAGACUUACUUGUUGUUGUGGGGAAAACCCACACUUCAGAAGGGAACUGUGCUGUGUGAGUGUGAUAGUGGCAUGAAAGUAAGGGAAACAUAUAGGAGAGAAAGAUACAGAAGGUGGAAAACUGAGUUUUUCUUUUUUACUUAGUGUCUGUCAAAAUAAUAUUCACCUGAUUUUGGAGGCAAACGGUAGAGAACACUUUACCUUUAGAUCUUUGAGUAACACUGUUCAAAAAAUGCUGCAAUAUCAUCAAAACCCUUUCAAAGUACUCUUGAAUUAGCCCAAUAAUUGGUAGGAAAAAAAAGACAAUCAUGAUAUGAAAAAAAAAAGUGUUGCUGUAAAUGUCUAUUGGAUGUUAUUUCGAUCUCUAUGUUCCUAGUAUAUUCUGCUAAUACUUUGGAAUCAUUUUAUUUUUGGUAGCAAUGUUAGGUGUUAUAAGAGACAAACUCUCUGUUAUAUUAAAUUGCCUGUGCUCAUGUCCUUCACUUGGCCUCAAAAUACAACAUGUUCUUUCUCUAAAGAAUAAUAACUCAAAAGUUUUUCCAAAUAAUCACUUUUUAAGGAUAUUUUGGUAAACAUAAAUUCACAUUAAAAAGUGUAGAGAAACAGAAUUACAGAAUUUUUACUGUAACAUCCUAUAACUUGUGUAUAUAUUGUGUAUAGGAAUCAGUAUUUCUGAAGAAGCUUGUUUUACCUUUUUUUGUGAUCUUUAUACCAUUUUCCCUUUUCACACUAAAAGUUAUUUUCAUACAGUGGGAAAUAUGAUUGUGAUUCCCUAUCAUUUGGAUGGUUCCUUAAAUUAUAUUUCUCAUAACAGUGUUAAGUUUUGGGGGGCACCAGGGUGGCUCAGUCAGUUAAGCGUCCAACUCUUAUUUUUGGUUCAGAUCAUGAUCUUGGGGUUGUGAGAUCGAGCCCCAAGUCAAGCUCCCUGCUAUCCACUCAUUAUUCACAGAAAUACUUAUUGAGCAUCAUUUGUGCAUAAGAAACUAUGCUGAAUGUUGGACAGGACACAAAGAUAAAACAUUCUCCUUGCCUAAAAAAAAAAAAAA
rnacentral:lncRNA from 1 species